AAUAUCGGUCGCUAGAUUUACACCAAAGUUGUAGGUUUGGUUAAGUCUAGCGUCGGAGAUUAUGUCCGUCGCUAGACUUAACAUAAUUAUCCAAGAGAACGAUGCCCAAAUUCCAAACCCUAACAUAUUGAGCAAGACUUAACGCAAGAGAACGCUCGCCCAACGCAACGCAAGAGACUACCGCCGCCCACCCACCGCCCACCGCUGCUACAGCUUACCUCCACCGCCGACCGCUGCGACAGCUUGCCUCCACCGCCGACCGCUGCGAUAGCCGACCUUCAGUUUGCGAUACGCUGCCUCUGCCAUAUUUGCCGUAUCUACUGUAUUCUCUGCCUCCUCUCCUCUCCACUGCCGCUGCCGAUCCUGACUUGUGCGCCGCUCGUGUUCGUUGCCCACCGCCCACCCUAGACUAGUAGUGUAGCUAGACUACUUUAGCAAGUUUGACUGGGUCCUCUACAAAUUUUUGGACUACUUUAGCAAGUUUGACUGGGAAACAUAUUGUAUUUGUUUAACUGGUCUUGCUCGCAUAUCAUCUUUGCCAGAAAUUGUGGUUGAGGUUCCUGAAAAUGAUGGUGGUGAGUUACUGCUCAACAAUGAUUUUCUUAGAUAUUGUGUCAAAAUGUUUUCUGUUUCUUCAAGAGGGUAUGACAUGAACUCCAGAACCUUUCAACAAAAGCAUCUUACCAUAGUUGAUCCUCUGAAGGAAAAUAAAAAUCUUGGCCGUAGUGUCAGCAAAGGAAAUUUCUAUACAAUAUGGAGUGCUUUCACAUAUGGUGCUAGGAAGCUCAAGAGAAUACUCUUGUAGUUAGACGAUAAAAUUGUUGCCGAGCUUCAUAAUUUUUUUGCCAACACUUUGGGUCGACAUGGAAAUGGGCAGAGGCCUGAUGUUCAAGAUCUUUAGUCCAGUAGCUAGCUGUAAUAGUUUUUGUCAUAGUAACUUUACUUUUGUUAUUGCUAAUGAGUAUGAAUAUUUAAAUAUAAUAUAUUUUGCAAUUAUAUUA